AUUUAUUGUGCAUCAUCUGGGAACUGGAACAAGCUGUGAAUUUGAAGAUGGUGCAACAGCUCUGUUUAUAGGGAACAGAAGCUAAUAGUUAAGUUGGGCUUCUUAUGCUGUGCUUUUAUGUGGUACACUUCAGCAUCACUUCUAAUGUUUAAUGGGAUAUUGAAGAGAUGUGUUUGAGAGACCUAGGAAGAUCGCCACCAAGCAUGUGAGUCAAGGGUGUGUGGGCACAUUUUGCAUUCUGUUCAUGAUAGGCGUGGGUGCUUGCCUACACAAUAGACAGAAUGCACUUAUGCGACUCUUUCUUCAACGCAGAAGGGUGUUGCCAGCAAUUGUCCCAUCACCCCAGAAACCUAGGAAGGUCAUUCCUCAAGUCGGAGAAGACGCUCAAAAUGGCCACCUCCCACCUGGCUGGCAGAGUUAUAUGUCUCCCCAGGGGCGAAGGUACUACGUGAACACUUUCACCAAUGGUAAGCUUCAUUUAUGUGAUCCUUUUAUGCAUAAAUGUUUAUCUCCUCUGAAUUCUCUAAAAACUUAAGGCAGCUAAUAAUUUUUACUGAAUUAAAAAAAAAAUAGCUUCAUAUUUCUCCAGUUUCUCAUUCAGAUUCCAAUCCUGACACAUUUCAGGCCUGGGUUUCUAGUAUUUCCUCUUCUGCUCUCAAGUGACCACAUAGUCUUAAUUUGGAUUCUGCAGAACAAAAAGUUCACUUUUGUUCGAGAAGAUAACCCCAGGGGAUGGAAGUUCAUAAAAGUUCAGGAGGUUUUUAGCAAGCAAUCAUCAACUUGAAAUAGCAGUUACUUCUGGGAUAGUCAGGACUUGGAGCUGAUUUUGAUAGAUUUUUGCAUUCUUGUGGACAGAAUGGACAUGCUAGCAGUCCCUGGGAACCUUGCCUGGACUGAAUAGUGGCACCUUCUCUCCAUGCAUCUACAUUCCUCUGUUCUUUGUAGACAUAGGAGCAGUCUGUCCUCUUCCUUGUCCUUCUCCACCACCACCUCCUCCUCCUUCAUUUCCAUACUGCCAUGUCCACGUCCACCUCCUCCUCCUCCUUCUCAGCCCCCACCCCCAUGGUAGAUGCAUCCACCACUUGGGGGAAAUGAGCCAAAACUCCAAAGGAGGGUGUGGGCGAAUGGACCAGAGCCAGG
rnacentral:lncRNA from 1 species